AAUUAUAUUUUACCAGAUGGCUCAAAGAACACCUCAGUGUCAAUCAGUCCAUCUGGUGAAAUAGUGGAGGGCAGUUCAGUGACUCUGACCUGCACCAGUGAUGCCAACCCACCUUCGGACAAAUACACCUGGUACAAGAAGAAUGUAACCUCACCAAAAGCAUCAGGACAGAGUUACAGCAUCAAUAACAUCAUUUCUGAGGACAAAGGAGAAUAUUACUGUGAGGCCCAGAAUGGAAGAGGAUCUAUGAACUCUACAGCUCUGAUGAUCAUUGUAGCAGGUAAAGUUUCAUCUCAAUACUUCAAUACAAAACUACAUCUUUCAAUCUAAUCUUAAUCAUUAUACUUUGGCAUGUUACACCUUAGUUUAUAACUAUACAUUGGGUUGUAAAAUCCCUUAACAAGUAUUGCAUUAAGUUCAUUUUUAGUUCAUUAUUUCAUGCCAUCUACUCAUAUAAUCCAUAUUUAUUACAGGGAAACAGACCUCAGUUCUGACUGCAGCUGUAGGAAUCAUAGUGGUUGUUCUGGUUCUCAUCCUCUGUCUUUCUGGACUCAUGUGUUUCAGGAAGAAGGCCUCCAAAUCCACCUCUGACACAAGAGACACAUCAGAGAAUGUACAGGGAGACUCUAGUCCCGUGUAUGACAACAUUUCAGGCAUGGCCAUGGCCCCUACAACAGCACAGACAGCGGCCACCGUCGACCAGGAUGAUGUGCACUAUGCCAGAGUCCACGUCUUUCACUCCGAAAACCAGGAAGUGCCUCUGUACUCCACCGUCCAACUGCUUCAACCCCGGAAAAAGGAAGAGGAUGUCCAGUACGCUGCUGUGAAAUUCAACCUCCCCAGUGCUGCCAUCUGGUGAGCAUAUUCUGCUAUUACAACAACAUAUAGUCAUUACUACAUAGAACAUUGUGAACACACAGACAGCAUCAAGGUCAUUCAUAUGUUGCUGCUUAUUGGAGGAGUAGACAAUUAUGUCAUCAAUAAGCAAAUAAGUUGUCCCCGAGUCACCGCUCCUUGUUCCCUGAGAACUCCCUCCAUCACUACCUGAAGAGUUGAAGGAGCAUUCUUCAGGUCAGAUGACAUUUCAUUGAACUCAUUCUAUUGUGUAACAGUGGACAUUUUGAAAGUCGCAGUUUCAACGUCUAAAAGUUUCAGGGGUAUUCUUCAAACCAAAUGGCAUUUCCUGAAACUACUCAAGACAAUUACUAUGACAUGUCUAUAAUGAAGGAGUGAUGUGAUGUGAAGAUCUGAACACAACAAACCCAGAACCAAGAAGACCUGAACACAAUGAACACAGAACCAAGAAGACCUGAACACAACAAGUUUGACCAAAAGGCUCUGUAACUAGACCCGUAUAUUCAAACUGAGUGAUAAUAAUAUAUAUAUAAUUAAUAAUAUACACUGAGUGCACAAAAUAUUAAGAACAUGUUGUGUACCCUUAAAAGCACUUAUAUCUUUUGUCCAUUCACCCUCUGAAAGGCACACACAAUAUGACACAGUAAUCACAGACAGACAGACAGACAGACAGACAGACAGACAGACAGACAGACAGACAGACAGACAGACAGACAGACAGACAGACAGACAGACAGACAGACAGACAGACAGACAGACAGUUCAGUAUGUGUAUCAUGGGGCACAGGUAUGGAGUGACAGUGCCAGUGACAUCAACUGUGAAAUUCAAUGCCAUAAACUUUGUGUUAGCCAGUGUGAGAUUUUUUGGGGUGGGCUUUGUGAAAAGGGCAGGAGGGUAUCUGAUACUUUGAGGUGAGCGUGAAAGUGUUGGUUCGUGAGGAGGAGUUUGAGUAUAUGUGUGUGAAUACACCCCUGUUUGAUGACCUCUCACCUUUGCGUUUGAGGAAGUUGAAGGAAUGGCAGAAUCACCCUCUGAUCCCCCUCCAGCCUCCUUGGGGGUCUUGGGGCCCCCCUCAUUCCACAGCAGCAGGGAGAACUCAGCCCCCGGGAGGUCGAUAAGGCGCGUCACGUUACUCAGCACCAGCUCUACAUACACUCUUAGAAAAAAGGGUUCCAAAAGGGUUCUUCGGCUGUCCCCAUAGGAGAUCCACUUUUGAUUCCAGCUAGAACUCUGUUUGGUUCCAGGUAGAACUCCUUAGGGUCCCAUUUCAAACCCUCUUUGGAAAGGUUCUACAUAGAACUCAAAAGGGUUCUAUUAGGAACCAAAAGAGUUCUACCUGAUGAUCAAUAUAUAUACCACAAUUAUCAAAAGAGAAUGUCCUUCCUGAUGGUAGCAUAUGCAGUGGCGACCCAUCAUUCACGCAGGUGGAGCGUGUUUUUCCUGUUUUGCAUGUUAUUUUGGCAUUAAUACAUGUCACAUAAAAAAAUUGUCACGUAAAAAAUGUUAUAAUUGAGUUACUUUAACCAUAUCUACAUGUACAUACUACCUCAAUCAGCCUGACUAACCGGUGUCUGUAUGUGGCCUCACUACUUUUCUAGCCUCGCUACUGUAUAUAGCCUCGCUACUGUUAUUUUUCACUGUCUUUUUACUGUUGUUUUUAUUUCUUUACUCACCUAUUGUUCACCUAAUACCUUUUUUGCGCAAUUGGUUAGACCCUGUAAGUAAGCAUUUCACUCUAAGUUCUACACCUGUUGUAUUCGGCGCACGUGUGUCACGUCCUGGCCAGUAUAAGGUCAAUUGGUAUUGUAGUUUGGUCAGGACGUGGCAGAGGAUAUUUGUUUUAUGUGGUUCGGGGUGGUGUUUUGGAAAAUAGGGUGUUUGAUUUAGUAUUUCCGGGUUUUUGGUUUAUGGUCUGUGUUUAUGUAUUUCUAUGUGUUAUCUAGUUAGUUGUAUGUCUAUGUUUGGUUAAUUGGGGUGGACUUCCAAUUGAAGGAGGCUGUGUGGUGUUGCCUUUGAUUGGAAGUCCUAUAUUAGUUGGGUGUGUUUGUUUGUCUAAUUGUGGGAGAUUGUCUUUGGAUUGCUGUGUUGCCUUCAAGGCUGUCAUUUUGUCGUUCAUCGGUUUGCUUAUUUUUUGUAUACGUGGUUGUUUGGUUUUUUCCUUCUUUUCCGUUAAAUAAAGAAGAUGAGUAUACACAUACCUGCUGCGUUUUGGUCCGCCAUUUCUAACGACAAGCGUGACAACGUGACAAAUAAACUUUGAUUUGAUAAUAAAGCCGCAUACAAACA
rnacentral:lncRNA from 8 species